GAGCCGGUGGUGUAAAGCGUAGCACCGCUGCCCGGGAAGCAGAAGGUGUGGGUUCGACUCCCGCCUGGUGCA
rfam:Heligmosomoides polygyrus genome assembly, scaffold: HPBE_scaffold0003357